AUUUAGAUUAUUUACAAAAGGUGCCUGGUAGGAGAGCUAUACAUGGCAACCAUUUGUGUGGUAGGUCCGUAAUAAGAGGUUAGGAAGAGUCUACCAGGUGUUCACACUUGAAAGAGACGAGCUUAACGAGCUAGGAGAGAAUGAGUAAUUAUGAUAAAAAUAGCUACAACAGUUUGCCCUUCUUGAAGAGUGGGGAAACAGCAGUCAUUUAAACCAGAUUGGCAAACGCUGGCUUUCCCUCUUUAUUUGGCACUAACAAAUGUCUCAGGAAAAACCAAACAAGGCCAAACGCAGACACUUCGAAGGGCAAACCAGGUAGGAAAGGGGGCACAGUUAUAAAGGGGCAAGACAUCAUCCAGAUGUGGUUACCAGGGGCUGGCUCACAACGGAAAGCACAGGUGGGCUGGGGAGGGUGUAGGGGCUGCCUGGGAAGAAGAAAGUUCUGGAAGUCCUCGCCUUCUUGCAAACCCGGCAACAGAUCUCUAGAGCUGGCCCGAACCUGGACCCUAAACAAAAUGGGAGAAUAACAGUCCCAGGACUGGGAAAGGAGGCAGGAAAAGUCAGCAAAGGAAAUGGCAUAUCCUGUGGAACAAAGCCGGAGGGACCUGCCAAGUCCUUAAGGAACCAGCACGGUCUAUGCUUCCGUGUAUAUCUGAGAGAAUGCCUCCAAAGACACUAUGGGAAAUUACCUUCAUAAUUUAAGUCAAAUAAAACUUCUUCCUGAAAUGCCCAAGUGUUUAAUGCAAGAAGGCACUUUCUUUUUCAUUUUCUUGGGUGAACAGAAAGAGUCCCAGCGGAGACCAAGUAUACCAGUUCACCACUGCCACCGUGUGGACAAACAGGACAGUCAACCUAGGUCGGAUUGCUUGUCAAUAACAGAGCAAAGGGAUUCCUAAGCAGUGAAUGGACGGUGUUUUUCCUCCUUUCCUUCUCCUUUUCAUUUAUAACACUUCAUCUAUCUCUUCUACAGUGGAAAAACAGGAAAAAAAAAUUUUCCCAGAUGUGGGCCUCAUGAAAGUUGUUUUUUAUUUGCCAUGCUUCCAGGACCUAGGGCAUCUUCUAUAUUCACAAGUUCUGAAUUUGUUGCAAUUUCUUCUCUCACAGUGGUACCCUCCAUAGGAUGUGACUGGAUGUGCAGAGUGAAACAGCCCAUCUACCCGGUGACAGGCAGCACAAUGAAAAGGGAAAUCUAGCUGAGUUAAGGGUUCUAUAGGGACAACAUUUUAUAUCGACGAUUUUACAUGUCACAGGCUAACAUUUUCAAAUCAUUUUAACAGCCAUCAUUUCAGUUUCUCAUCCUGUUGCAUAAAGCAUGAAACCAAAGGGUAAAAUUCUAGUCUCCAGGUGAGGGAAAACUCUGGCACUAGUUAGUAGUGAAUAGGGUAGAAACCAGGCCCCCUGGCUCCUGGUCCAGCUCCCCCCAGCACAUACUGAAGAACUGGGGCCAUUUAUCAGUCAAACCUUCAGAGACCACUGGGCAGACUCCAGUUUAACUGUGGCAGAAAGAGAGAUUCACGGGGGCUCUCAAAUGCUAGCGUGCCUUCAGAGUCACCCAGAGGGCUUGCCCGCAUAGAUCCCCGUGCCUGGGAGUUUUGAUUCAGCCAGUGUGGGACCAGGCCUGAGAAUCUGCAUUCCCUAACAAGUUCCUAGCUGACUGAUGAUGCUGAUGCUCAGGGCAUGGGGUCACGCUUAGAAUGUCGCUGGGCUACAAGUUAAAGGCACAGAGAUCCUAUAUUCUGACUCCUGUCUUUCCCUCACUGUCCAAGACAGGAGUCUGAACCAUCACCUUUAUUUCCCGGGUGCCUCCCCAAUUGGGCAGACUUCCAAGUGUUUCCACCAUAUUUAGUGAAAAUGGGCCACAAAGUAUUUAAAUACUCAAACCAAAGGAAAAAAAAAAAACUCCCGAAACAACUAGGUCCAUGUCAGCUAAAGGAUUCAAUUCUUGUCUUUGGUCUUAACAGGAACAUCAUUGUAGAACCAGGUUGUGAAUGGUUUUCCUUUGUUUAAAUAAAGUUCCUGAUUUUAAAAGAAUAAAACAAGAACAACACAGAUAUUUUGUUAUAUAAAUAGAGACUCCAUCUAUACAUUUAAAUUGUACAUUUAUAGAUAAGAAAAAUCACCUAUGUUUGGCCAAAAUGUAUCGGUUUCCUUCUCAAAAACAUAUCUGAAAUCCUUAGGGGUCGAAACUGAAUCACUGAGGAUGGAAGUCUUACACCGUGUUCCGAAGACUUUGACCAGGGAGCAAGGAAAGAGCCAGAGAAGGCUUCUUCCGCCGCCAGUCAGUCUUCAGAGAAAAGAAUGACGGGGCCACUUGCAGCCACUCUGCUCUUCUGGAAUAUUUAUAGCUUCCAGUGAGCCUUCGCCUUCUUCAUCCUCCAAGAAUGAUCAUCAGUUUCUCUGAAAUGAGCCUCAAUGACUGUCAGCAUGGAAUUGUUUUUCAAAGCCCCUGGGAAGUUUCUCUUCCACUUCUUUGUUGGAAAUUAGAGUCAUUGGGAGAACCACCUUCUAGACAAUGAAGACCUGAAGGCUGGACAUCUAGGAGAAACACAGCCAGUGCAUGGAAAACAUGAUGUCCCAAAACCACAGGUCAAAUUUUCCAGGGAGAGGUGCUCAGAUAUGUGGGCAACGUAAAGGCUCUUUGUGAUUACUAAGGGUCUGGACACAACAUCUCUAAGGCUGGAGCGGGUGAGACAUCACCACGAGUCCAUCGCCCCUGUGCUCUCAUGUGCCAGAGCUCUGGAGUGAAAAACCAGAUCCCAGGACCAGCACGACGGUGCAGAUGCCCUGGAUCCUGUGAAGAACAACGGGGUGAGUGCUACAGCCCGGGGACCCUGGUCCCCAGGGCAAAAGAACAAUCCUUCAUAAAAUAGCCUGGAAACACUGAAAGUGAAUGAUAGCAGGAAAUGUGAAAACAACAACAAAAGCGAAAACAAAACACAGCACUAGAAAAAACAUGCCAAAGUCCACCGACUUUCUCCUGUGGAGAAGCCAGGAGGUAUAUGUUUGGGGGAGGCACAGUCAAGAUCACCAACAGCAAAAGGUGGACAAAUGGGUCCAAAUGCUAUGGGUUCUGAGUAUCUAGAGAGGAGACUCUUGACACGAGCAUGGUGAGAAUGUAUGUGUGACCCACGACGUAGGCAGGUGGUCAGUGGUAUUCAGUUACAGGGCAGUGCACCGGCGAGAAUGACAGUGACCUUCCAGCCUAUUCACUAACUUGGCUGUCUUCUCCACCCAUGGUGUGGUAGAGGUGUAGAGAAAUGGUCAGCCUCUCCACCUUUCUCUUUCUUCCUGGAGGCACCAAAGGGGUUUAUCUUCUUCUGCUUUGGUUAGAUUGGUAAUUACACGUGUGCCUCUGGCAAAGGUCCCAGCUUGGCCACAGCUGCAUCCUGGUUACUAACACAAGUCCCGUGGGGCCUGAUGCCCUCCAGACCCUCUGGAGGGCAGACCUUUGACUGGCCCUCCCAUGUCCUCCAGCUUUAUUUGACAUGAGGGUCCAAGUCUUCCAAGCUCAGGGCUUUCUGAGGCUGGUGGAAGUGUGGAGUUAGAUAAAAAGGUCUCAGAAUCUUCCACAAUAGGCUGGGGCUACAUUCCUUGGCACUGGGGGCAAAGCAGUGAAUAGUCUAGCUCUUCUUUGGAAAGAGAUUACUCCUAAACUCGAAGGGGAUCAAUAUCCAGAGCCAGGAUUUAACCCAAAUUGAUUUUGUUCAAAAGCCUACAUUCUUUUUAUGCUCCUGCACUCAUAACAAGGGAAGGAAGCAUUUGACUGACUGAAUAAGUGAUAUUGGGAUGACUGAAUUACAAGCAAUUUUUUCUAAAGAUUUUAUUUAUUUAAUUUAGGUGGGGGGAGGGAGAAGCAGGUUCCCUCCUGAGCAAGGAGCCUGACAUGGGACUCAAUCCCAGGACUCUGGGAUCAUAACCUGAGCCAAACGAAGAUGCUUAACUGACUGAGCCACCCAGGCACCCUGAAUUACAAGCAAUUUGGAAUUAAGUUUAAAUAUCUUGGGCCAUAUACCAAAAUAAACUCAAAAUCAAGAGUUUACUAUUGAAUGAUAGGAAAACUAGCAUAAAUUAGAAUCUGAUAUCAGAUACUUGAUUAAACCACUUUCUAAAAUUUGAAGCAGGUCACAUAAUAGAAGAAACAGAUUGACAGAAAUUUACAUGCAAAAUAUAAACAUCAACACAACAGUUAUAAACAGGCAAUGAACAGAAACACAUUUAAAUGGGAAGAAAACAAUCAUCAACAAAUACUUUGAAAGAUUUUAAACUUAUGUACAAAAUAAACAUUAACUGGUACUAUUCCAAAGUGUUAAAUUUGAAAAAGAAUUAGGGUAAACUAGUAAAGUGAUAAUGAAUUUUUUACUGGGGGAUAAAAGUUUGACAAUUCCUUUUAUGAAUCACUUCUCUGUAAUCCUUCUCUGUAAUUCCUCUUAUGAAUCACUGUAAAGUCUACUUCUGGGACUUUAUCUUAGGAGUCAUUUGAAAAACAAGUUAGUUGAAAUGACAGUGUACCAUGGAAGUAAAGAAUACAGGCUUUAGAGGUUUCAACAUAUCCAAGUUCAAAUCCUGGCUCUGAUUUACUCAUUUCAUAACUUUGAGUAGAUUAUUUGUGAUAAGUUUCUGUUUCUUCAUCUCUAAGUUGAAAAUGUAAAUAUAUGAUGUAAAGUACUUAGUGUUCAAUAAAUGGAUGCCAGCUAAAAGCAAAGAACGACUCCCAACAGGUGAAAGUUGGAAACAAACAAUAUUCAAUAUGAAUGAAGUUAUGAAAAUUGAUGUAUGUAUACCAGGUGGAACAUUAAGCAAACACUGAAAAGACAGUAAUGAAGACUCUGAUGAUGGACGAUAUCUAAGACGUGCUAAAUAAACAUAUAAUGAAAACGUUUCUAUAUUUACAAUGCGAAUAGCUAAUAAAAUAUGUACACAGGUGAACAAAGACUGGAAAAGAAUGUGAAUUAACAAAAACACAGAAGGUCACAUAAUGGGGAUUUAAAAUGCUUUCCUCUAUGUUACCCUGUUUUUGCCAAGAAAUGAAAAACAUAAGAAAAAAAAAACAGCCAAGACUUCUGGCAUCUAGUCUGGUGUACAAGGAGCCCAGCAGGAGCCAUCCUAUUGUUAAUGAGCCAAAACCUGAACGAUCCAAAAACCAACAAGUCUUCUUAAUGAUUUCAGAGAACUGAAGUCAAAAUUAGAGAGACAGAGAGGUGGACGCAGAGACUCCCCACUUACUGGAGCAGCGACCUCUGUGGGAACAAGGACUAGCACAUGAAAACUUAAACUGUAACUGAUGGGCCCCUGGGUGGCUCAGUCUGUUAAGCGUCUGCCUUUGGCUCAGGUCAGGAUCCCAGGGUCCGGGGAUCCAGCCCCACAUCGGGCUCCCUGAUCAGAAGGGAGCCUGCUUCUCCCUCUGCUUCUCCCCCUGCUUGUUCUCUCUCUCUCUGUCAAAUAAAUAAAAUCUUAAAAAAAAAGACAAAACAAAAAAAAAACUUGUAACAGACAAACUUUGGAGGCUCGGGGGGAUCAAUGAGAGAACUACACAUGGCGGGAGGGCCAGGCUUUUGCGAAUUUUAGCUCCAGGAGCUUUGCUAGGUUCUUACAGUGAGCACUGGGAAGAAAUCUCCUGUUUCUGGCAGGGAGAAGGGGAAAGCAGCCAGGGCAUUCUGUUCUUCGGGCAGCCUGCCCUCAAACGGUUUCAUCAGAGCUAACUGCUUAAGCCUGUAUCAGAACCUGACUAACCUGGAGGAAGGGCAGAUACCCACCUCUGGCCUCCUCUCGCCACCCUGCGACCUCGUAAAAUUCACAGUCGGGAGACACAGGCUCUCUACCAGACCGCCGCAGCUCCGGUAGCCAAGUCCACUAAGCUUCGAGCCGGAGGAAGAACUAAGAGGGUAUCUGCCAGUGCAGUUUUCCCCAGAACCCUGCCCAAUGACUUCAUUUAAACUGCUCUGGCCCCCAAGGGACAAGUAAGGCUGGCAAGAAUGUUGUAUUCCUGGGUGCCUGGGUGGCUCGUUUGGGUAAGCAUCUGCCUUCGGCUCAGGUCAUGAUCCCAGGGUCUCUGGGAUCGAGCCCCACCU